GUGCUCGCUUCUGCUGCACAUAUAUUGAAAUUGGAAUGGUACAGAGAUUAGCAUGGCCCCUGUGCAAGGAUGACAUGAAAACUUGUAAAGCAUUCCAUAAAAAA